rnacentral:rRNA from 1 species
GUCUCCCUACGGGGGGCAGCAGUGGGGAAUAUUGCACAAUGGGGGAAACCCUGAUGCAGCGACGCCGCGUGAGUGAAGAAGUAUCUCGGUACGUAAAGCUCUAUCAGCAGGAAAGAAAAUGACGGUACCUGACUAAGAAGCCCCGGCUAACUACGUGUCAGCAGCCGCGGUAAUACGUAGGGGGCAAGCGUUAUCCGGAUUUACUGGGUGUAAAGGGGGCGCAGACGGCAGCGCAAGCCAGGAGUGAAAGCCCGGGGCCCAACCCCGGGACUGCUCUUGGAACUGCGCGGCUGGAGUGCAGGAGG